UCCUACGGGAGGCAGCAGCGGGGAAUAUUGCGCAAUGGGCGCAAGCCUGACGACGCAACGCCGCGUGGAGGACGAAGAUUUUCGGAUCGUAAACUCCUUUCGAUCGGGAAGAAUGGCUGCCGGGUGAAUAAUCCGGCAGAGUGACGGUACCGAGAGAAGAAGCCCCGGCUAACUCCGUGCCAGCAGCCGCGGUAAUACGGGGGGGGCAAGCGUUGUUCGGAAUUACUGGGCGUAAAGGGCUCGUAGGCGGCCAACUAAGUCCGACGUGAAAUCCCAAGGCUUAACCUUGGAACUGCGUCGGAUACUGGAUGGCUUGAAUUCGGGAGAGGGAUGCAGAAUUCCAGGUGUAGCGGUGAAAUGCGUAGAUAUCUGGAGGAAUACCGGUGGCGAAGGCGGCAUCCUGGACCGACAUUGACGCUGAGGAGCGAAAGCUAGGGGAGCAAACGGGAUUAGAUACCCCGGUAGUCCUAGCCCUAAACGAUGAAUGCUUGGUGUGGCGGGUAUCGAUCCCUGCCGUGCCGAAGCUAACGCAUUAAGCAUUCCGCCUGGGGAGUACGGUCGCAAGGCCGAAACUCAAAGGAAUUGACGGGGGCCCGCACAAGCGGUGGAGCAUGUGGUUCAAUUCGACGCAACGCGAAGAACCUUACCCAGGCUCGAACGGCAAUUGACAUCCGGUGAAAGCCGGCUCCCGCAAGGGCAAUUGUCGAGGUGCUGCAUGGCUGUCGUCAGCUCGUGUCGUGAGAUGUUGGGUUAAGUCCCGCAACGAGCGCAACCCUUGUCCGCUGUUGCCAUCAGGUUAAGCUGGGCACUCUGCGGAGACUGCCGGUGAUAAACCGGAGGAAGGUGGGGAUGACGUCAAGUCAGCAUGGCCUUUAUGUCUGGGGCUACACACGUGCUACAAUGGCCGGUACAAACCGUCGCGAUACCGCAAGGUGGAGCUAAUCGGAGAAAGCCGGUCUCAGUUCGGAUUGCAGGCUGCAACUCGCCUGCAUGAAGUUGGAAUCGCUAGUAAUCGCGGAUCAGCACGCCGCGGUGAAUACGUUCCCGGGCCUUGUACACACCGCCAU
rnacentral:rRNA from 1 species